rnacentral:rRNA from 1 species
ACCUUAGAUGUUCUGGGCCGCACGCGCGCUACACUGACGAUGGCAACGAGUUUUUCCUUCGCCGAAAGGUGUGGGUAAUCUUUUGAAACAUCGUCGUGCUGGGGAUAGAUCAUUGCAAUUUUUGAUCUUGAACGAGGAAUUCCUAGUAAGCGCGAGUCAUCAGCUCGCGUUGAUUACGUCCCUGCCCUUUGUACACACCGCCCGUCGCUACUACCGAUUGAAUGGUUUAGUGAGGACUCCUGAUUGGCGCCGCCGCCCCGGCAACGGAGCAGCGGACUGCCGAAAAGUUGUUCAAACUUGAUCAUUUAGAGGAAGUAAAAGUCGUAACA